rnacentral:rRNA from 1 species
UCCGGUGGCUAUAGCGCAAGGGUCACACCUGUUCCCAUCCCGAACACAGAAGUUAAGCCUUGCUGCGCUGAUGAUACUGCAUGGGCAACUGUGUGGGAAAGUAGGUCGUCGCCGGAA